UUAGUGGCGGACGGGUGAGUAACGCGUGGAAAACCUGCCGUAUACUGGGGGAUAACACUUAGAAAUAGGUGCUAAUACCGCAUAAGCGCACAGCUUCGCAUGAAGCGGUGUGAAAAACUCUGGUGGUAUACGAUGGUCCCGCGUCUGAUUAGCUAGUUGGUGGGGUAAUGGCCUACCAAGGCAACGAUCAGUAGCCGGCCUGAGAGGGUGAACGGCCACAUUGGGACUGAGACACGGCCCAAACUCCUACGGAAGGCAGCAG
rnacentral:rRNA from 1 species